rnacentral:misc_RNA from 1 species
UGGUGAACCAGCGGAGGGAUCAUUACAGAGUCAUCUAACUCCCAAACCCAUGUGAACUUACCAUUUGUUGCCUCGGCAGAACCUACCCGGUAACUGUUCGGAGAAGCUACCCUGUAGCUACCCUGUAACGGCCUACCCUGUAACGUCCUGCCGGUGGACUUUUAAACUCUUGUUAUUUUAUAGUAAUCUGAGCGUCUUAUUUUAAUAAGUCAAAACUUUCAACAACGGAUCUCUUGGUUCUGG